rnacentral:rRNA from 1 species
AUUAGAUACCCUGGUAGUCCACGCAGUAAACGAUGAAUACUGGGUGUUCGGAAUGUAGAUUCUGAGUGCCGAAGCGAAAGCGUUAAGUAUUCCACCUGGGGAGUACGCCGGCAACGGUGAAACUCAAAGGAAUUGACGGGGGCCCGCACAAGCGGAGGAACAUGUGGUUUAAUUCGAUGAUACGCGAGGAACCUUACCCGGGCUCAAACGCCGCCGGACAGGAAAAGAGAUUUUCCCUCCUACGGGUCGGCGGCGAGGUGCUGCAUGGUUGUCGUCAGCUCGUGCCGUGAGGUGUCGGCUUAAGUGCCAUAACGAGCGCAACCCCUGCGGGCAGUUGCUAACGGAUAAAGCCGAGGACUCUGCCCGGACUGCCGGCGCAAGCCGCGAGGAAGGCGGGGAUGACGUCAAAUCAGCACGGCCCUUACGUCCGGGGCGACACACGUGUUACAAUGGGUGGCACAGAGGGAAGCCAGGUGGCGACACCGAGCGGAACCCGAAAUCCACUCUCAGUUCGGAUCGGAGUCUGCAACCCGACUCCGUGAAGCUGGAUUCGCUAGUAAUCGCGCAUCAGCCAUGGCGCGGUGAAUACGUUCCCGGGCCUUGUACACACCGCCCGUCAAGCCAUGGGAGCCGAGGGCGCUUGAAGUGCGUCGCCGGAAGGCGCGCCCUAGAGCGAAAUCGGUGACUGGGGCUAAGUCGUAACAAGGUAAC